rnacentral:misc_RNA from 1 species
GAUGAAGAACGCAGCGAAAUGCGAUACGUAAUGUGAAUUGCAGAAUUCAGUGAAUCAUCGAAUCUUUGAACGCAUAUUGCGCUCUCUGGUAUUCCGGAGAGCAUGCUUGUUUGAGUAUCAGUAAACACCUCAACUCCCGUUUCUUUUUUGAAAUUGGAGCUGGACUUGAGUGAUCCCAACGCUUUCUUCCAAGAAAGUGGCGGGUUGCUUGAAAUGCAGGUGCAGCUGAACUUUUCUCUGAGCUAUAAGCAUAUCUAUUUAGUCUGCCUAAAAAACAGAUUAUUACCUUUGCUGCAGCUAACAUAAAGGAGACUAGUUCUUGUGCUGACUGAUGCAGGAUUCACAGAGACAGCUUCGGCUGACUUUGUAAACUCGAUCUCAAAUCAAGUAAGACUACCCGCUGAACUUAAGCAUAUCAAUAAGCGGAGGA